GCCAACAGCCAUGUCUCCCUGCAACUCACAACUAUCAGCCCACUGAAGCUAAGCAGGUAUGAGCCUGGUCAGUACCUGGAUGAGAGACCUCCUAGGAAAAAUUAAGGUUGCUGCUGGAA
rnacentral:rRNA from 1 species